rnacentral:rRNA from 1 species
CUGGUUGAUCCUGCCGGCGGUCACCGCUCUUGGAAUCCGACUAAGCCAUGCGAGUCGAGAGGGUUCGGCCCUCGGCGAACUGCUCAGUAACACGUGGAUAACCUAACCUGAAGCGGGGGAUAAUCUCGGAAAACUGAGGAUAAUACCCCAUAGGUCUUCGAUACUGGAAUGUUCCUAGGCUGAAAGCCAAGGCGCUUCAGGAUGGGUCUGCGGCCUAUCAGGUUGUAGUGAGUGUAAAGGACUCACUAGCCGACGACGGGUACGGGCCAUGGGAGUGGUAGCCCGGAGAUGGACUCUGAGACACGAGUCCAGGCCCUACGGGGCGCAGCAGGCGCGAAAACUUCGCAAUGCGCGGAAGCGCGACGAGGGGAUUCCAAGUGCAUGCACUCUGUGUAUGCUGUUUACUAGUCUAAAACGCUAGUAGAGUAAGGGCUGGGUAAGACUGGUGCANGCCGCCGCGGUAAUACCAGCGGGCCCUAGGUGGUGAGUCGUUAUUAUGUGGGCCUAAAGCGUCCGUAAGCCGGUCCGGUAAAUCUCUGGGGUAAAUCGUUGGGCUUAACUCAACGAAUNUCUGGGGAGACUGCCGGACUUGGAACCCGGANANAGGUCGGAGGACUCNCGGGGGAUAGGGGUGAAAUCCUGUAAAUCUUGGGGGAGCGCCCGNNUGGGCAAGGGCGCCNNACCANAAACGGGUCCCGACGGGUAGGGGACGAAAGCCCUGGGGCG